rnacentral:rRNA from 1 species
AGAGUUUGAUCCUGGCUCAGGAUGAACGCUGGCGGCGUGCUUAACACAUGCAAGUCGAGCGAACAAAGCGAUGUAAAGCCUUCGGGUGGAUCAUCGCGGCGUGAGCGGCGGACGGGUGAGUAACACGUGGGUAACCUGCCCUGUACACUGGGAUAACGCACCGAAAGGUGUGCUAAUACCGGAUAAAGUGAACCUUUCGCAUGGAAGGAUCACCAAAGCUCCGGCGGUACAGGAUGGACCCGCGUCCCAUUAGCUAGUUGGUGAGGUAACGGCUCACCAAGGCGACGAUGGGUAGCCGACCUGAGAGGGUGAUCGGCCACACUGGAACUGAGACACGGUCCAGACUCCUACGGGAGGCAGCAGUGGGGAAUAUUGCACAAUGGGCGAAAGCCUGAUGCAGCAACGCCGCGUGAGCGAUGAAGGCCUUCGGGUCGUAAAGCUCUGUCCUAAGGGAAGAUAAUGACGGUACCUUAGGAGGAAGCCCCGGCUAACUACGUGCCAGCAGCCGCGGUAAUACGUAGGGGGCAAGCGUUAUCCGGAAUCACUGGGCGUAAAGGGUGCGUAGGCGGCUGAUAAAGUCCGAGGUGAAAGGCUACGGCUUAACCGUAGUAAGCCUUGGAAACUUAUCAGCUUGAGUACAGGAGAGGAAAGUGGAAUUCCUAGUGUAGCGGUGAAAUGCGUAGAUAUUAGGAGGAACACCAGUGGCGAAGGCGACUUUCUGGACUGUUACUGACGCUGAGGCACGAAAGCGUGGGGAGCGAACAGGAUUAGAUACCCUGGUAGUCCACGCCGUAAACGAUGAGUGCUAGGUGUCGGGGGUCGAACCUCGGUGCCGCAGCUAACGCAUUAAGCACUC